GCGAGAGUGGCGGAAUUGGUAGACGCACUGGCUUUAGGUGCCAGCGCCUUAGGGCGUGAGAGUUCGAGUCUCUCCUCUCGCACCA
rnacentral:tRNA from 1 species